UACGUAGGGGGCAAGCGUUGUCCGGAUUCAUUGGGCGUAAAGAGCGUGUAGGCGGCCAGGUAGGUCGGUUGUGAAAACUGGAGGCUCAACCUUCAGAGGUCGACCGAAACCAUCUGGCUAGAGUCCGGGAGAGGAGAGUGGAAUUCCUGGUGUAGCGGUGAAAUGCGCAGAUAUCAGGAAGAACACCCGUGGCGAAAAGCGGCUCUCUGGAACGCAACUGACGCUGAGACGCGAAAAGCGUGGGGGAGCAAAACAGG
rnacentral:rRNA from 1 species